UUCUCAUCUCUUUUGCUCUGAGCUUUCCCUCUCAUCUCUUUCGCUCUGAGCUUUCCCUCUCUUCUCUUUCCCUCUCGAUCACAAACCAUCGUCACAUGUUUUUCGUUAAUGAGGUUUCGAGAAAGGGAAUGGGAUCGCGGUGCCGUUGAGGGCCCUCGUGCUCCGGUCUAACCGAGGGUUUGGAUCGACGGCCGUUGCAUAGUGCUACUACAAGGAUGACGAGAAGAGGAGUGUGCGACACACGGCAUGCUUGACACACAGGGUUGCAAGCCGAAGCGUGGAGUGUAGUGGGUGAUGAUAGGGAAGCCUGGAGCUGGGAGGAACCUCUUAGCGUAGAGGCUCUCGAAGGUUCUAGAAGUUCCUCACAUUUCCAUGGCUAUGCUCUUCAGCCAGAACCUCAACCCUUGCUCCUACCUCUAUCACCAACGAGCAAAUGCCUUAGAUCAUGGAAAACUUGUCCCAGAGGAAAAUACUCUUUUAUGACCAUCACGCUUCGUUCUUUUUGCACUCACGGUCACGCUAACAAAGUUCCUUCAUCUAUUCGGAAGACGUUGUUCCAUUGUUACCAGAUAUCGAUUGAGGCGAGGGUGUUGCAUUUUGAAAACAUUCGAAGUGGUAGUAAGGUCUUAAUGGAUUAAUUAGGGGCAUUCAGGAGCCUAACUUUGUGCAAUUGACCAAGUCGAUGGAUUCAUCCUUAUUUGCAAACACGAUAUGCAGGCUAUAUACAGGGAGAAUAUCAAAUAAAAGUAACUAAAAGUGCCCUGGCCUUGUUGCUAACCAGCAGGAUAUUACUUCUAGCUCUUUUGAUUGCAAAAUUGGCUUUCUUAUGGAAAUCUCAUCUAUCAGAGAAUUACCUGAUAUGCAAGAACGAACCCAAGGGUGUUUGUGGUGUAUUGCCAUGUUCUUGCAACCAUUGUAAUUGCUCUAAUAACUUAUUUCUCACAGUAUUCAUCAUGACCUCUCACUCCCAUUUCUACUACCCUUCAAUCUCAGCUCAUGUCUUCACUUUCUUUUUCCUUUCACAGCAGAAAUUCUCGCUCCUAUUACUUUGAUAUUUUAAUUUGAUAUUUUUGUAGGAAUUUAUUUAAUUUAAUAUUUUUAUGGGAAUUAAAGUUGGCAACGCUAUUGUCAAGCAGCUGGAUGAUCUCAAUUGCCAAUGUUGUUCCAUUAUGGUGUGUUUCAAUAUUUCUUUUGUUGUUUCAUCUGUUCCUAAUUUCAUUAUUAGAGAUGUGCUAGUCCAACUAUAUGUGCUUCGAUAUAUCUGGAGAUUCUCUUGGUAUCAGGGGUGAAACCUGAUGACAUAUGUUCCCAAGUUGGUUUAUGUUCCGCCAAAAGGAUUCAAUCUAAGAGAUUCCAUCAAGCUUGAAGAAGGUCUUCCACCCAAUAAUAUUUUGUGCAACAUUUGCAGAGCUAGCAACAAUUGUUUCAGAGUUUCUUUCUGAGUAGAGCUUGAUUAUGUUUUAGGUGUAAAUUAUAGUUUAGUUAAUAUUCAAUUCUAUAUUGUACAAGGGCCGGUUUGUUUUGAACUCUAUUUAUAAAGUCUUUCAAUAAAAUUUUUAUGUUUUAAUUA